UCAGUCAUCUGGAUGUAAAGAUGCCGGUCCGGUCUGGAUCUCUGGAGUGAAGUUUCUGCAAUUUCUUCGGCAGGGAUUCCUCGGUUGUAAUGCUUAAAAUUUUCGUUCUAAAUUUAACCUUUAUUCAAGUUUUUUUUAACGAUUUAGGUUUAGGGUUUGGUGUUUUUUGGUCUAAAGUUUGGUCUGUUCAACAGAAAUAUAUUCUGGCCCUAAAUUUUUCUCUGGCUCUGAGAUUACUGAUUUGUAAUCUUCUGACCGAGGUCAGGAAAAUCAUGUGUUUUUUCUUGCAUUACUCUGGCGAAUUUUUUAAGGGCAAUUUAGUGAAAUGUUGAUCUGAGUUUGCAGAUCAUACAUGAAAGGAGGAGAACAUCUAGAUAGAUUUCUCCCUUUUUUAUGAAGAACGUGAGAGCAUUAUUUAUUUGUGUGAAAUAGUUGUGCGGGUGCAUAAUGUUAAAUCUUUUCUUUUAAUCUUUCUUUACUUUUCAUCCUUUCUUUAAGUUUUUUCUCUUUCUAUUAGUCUUUCUUUAGAAAGUUUCUAGUCUUUAGGAGAUCUUCCUUCUAGUUCCUUAACCAAGUUAAGGGAUUGUGGGCUUAAUGCCAUGGAGGGGUGAGUCUGAGCAGUAGAUAAGGUUUUAUAUACUUUGAAAUUGAGUAUCAUAUCUUUCUUUAGAUCAAUUAUGGGUAGUCAUCAUCAACAAUAACAACUUUAAAGGUAUCGUGUAAUAUUGUCAAAAACACUAGACAUUAUUAUUCUCAAUUGUCUGGUGAUAAAUUAUUUGUUUGAUUUUCAUUUCCAACAUAUAUUUUAUUUUCAUUUUUUAAUCUUUAGAUUUAUGGUUUAAGAUUACAAGGAAGAGAGUGCUCUAUAGUAGAUGUGGAUAGCGUAGCUUCUAGUUAUAAAACAAAGCAAUGUUCAAUUAUGGUAUGUCAAUUGUGUUACUUGUAGAUGUGUCCUUGUUUUUAGGACAUAUAGGGGAUAAAACUUGAGGAUGGCAUGAAUGUGUAGAUGGGACGAGUAGUUGUUCCAUGAGUGCUUGACGACAUCAAGAAUGUCUCACUCACCUAGGGGAUGUGUCCCCGUUUUUCUAGCCAUAUUUUAAAAAAACACUCAAAAUGUUAAAAAACUUGAGAUGGCAUGAAUGUGCAGAUGGGACGAUUGAUCCCAUGGAUGCUCAAGGAUAUCAUCCAAGGGAUGGUUGGUCACCCCAUCCCCUUUUUUCUAGCCAUAUUUAAAAAAAACACUCAAAUGUUAAAUUAUUAUUAUUAUUAUUUUUCUUUGUGAGCUCCCACACUUCAAGAAACUUGAGAUGGCAUGAAUGUGUAGAUGGGCAGAUUGGUCAUCCCAAGGAUGCUCGAGGACAUCACAGAUGUCCUUUGACCACCCAGGGGAUGUCCGAUUUGCCCGUCUCCCUUUUUCUAGCCAUAUUUUUAAAAAAACACUCAAAUGUUAAAUCAUUAUUUUUUAAUUUCUUUGUGAGCUCCCACACUUAAAGAAACUUGAGAUGGCAUGAAUGUGUAGAUGGGCAGAUUGGUCAUCCCAAGGAUGCUCGAGGACAUUAGAGAUGUCCCUUGAUCACCCAGGGGAUGACCGAUCUGUCUGUCCCGUUUUUCUAGCCAUAUUUAAAAUUUAAAAAACUCUUAGAUGCUAAAAAUAUUUUUUUCCAUUUCUUUGUGGGCUCCCAUACUUCAAGAUAUUUGAGAUGGCAUGAAUGUGCAUAUGGGAUGAACAGUCAUCCCAUGGAUGCCCGAGGACAUCAUGGAUGUCCCUCGAUUGCCCAGGAGAUGGUCAGUUGCCUUAUCCCUUUUUUCUCUAGCCGUAUUUAAAAACAACACUCAGAUGUUAAAUUUUAUUUAUUUAUUUGUGGGCCCCCACACUUCAAGAAACUUGAGAUGGCAUUUUGUGUAGAUGGGAUGACUGGUUGUCACAUGGAUGCUUGAGGACAUUAGGGAUGUCCCUCAACUACGCAAGGGAUGACUAGUUACCUCACACCCAUUUUCUAGCCAUAUUUAAAAAAAAACUUAGAUAUUAAUUUUUUUCAUUAUUUCUCUAUGGCCCCCCACACCUCAAAAAACAUGAGAUGGCCUGAAUGUGUAGAUGGGAUGAUCGACUAUCUCAUGGAUGCUUGAGGAUAUUAGGUAUGUCCCUCAAUCGCCCAGGGGAUGGUUGGUCAUCCCGUCUGCCAUUUUUGGCCUUAAAAAAAACGCUUAGAUGUUACAAAAUCUAUAUUUUAUGUAUCUUUGUCACACUUCAUGUCUCCUAAAUGGAAGAAAACCCUUUUCUAUGCAUUUGACUUCAUUUUUUGUUCAUUGUUGGUAAAAAAAUUGCAACGAGGUUUGAAGUUGAAGGAGAAACAAAAUAUUCUAGUAGGGUUGAAGCAGGUGUAGAGAGGUUGAAUCCAAUACAUAUUUUCUAUUUGGUAGCACAACAACAAUUUUUUUGACAAAGAUAUGUUUGCUCUCUCAUUUCAUCUAUUGUUUGAGACAUUUGAAAGCAUGUUUGGAAAGAUAAAGAAUAAAAUUUUGGCCAAGGAUCUUACUUGGGAUUAUAUGAGCAACAUAUUAAGCCCAUUGCCAUGCGAAGGUGAAACCGAAUGAACAUCUUGUUUCAUAUGGUAUCCUUUGUUCUAAAUAUCAAAUGACAUGCAUGAAAGGUGGGAAGGUCGAAUCCAUGUGAUGAUGAAGAGGUGAAAGAAGGGCUAAUGAGAGCCUUUCAAAAUAUGUGUUCACAUGAAGAGUACUCAUUACUUUCCACACAAUGGAUUUCGUAAACAAAUAGUCAUGGUCCAAUAUUCAAUAAAUUAGAGGCAAAGAUAACUAGAGCUAUAUUAAUUGAAACUGGCCCUAUUGGAUGGUGGACAUGACCCAAGAAGGAUACACCACAAUUGAAGAUGAUUGUCAUUCGCCUCCUUUCAUGAGUUUCUAGUUUCUAUGUUGUAAAUAUGGAAUUGGUCCACAUAUGCCUUUAACCAUCAUCAAGAGGAAUAGACUCAUAUCCAGAUGAGUGGAGAAGUUAGUAGCUAUGCAUAGUGCUCUUUGACUUUAGGAUCGUCAAAUUUCAAUGUAUCAAGAUACUCCAACUUUACAAUGGGAUGUUGAUCUUGAAGACAUUGCCCAAGCUGAUGAGGAAGAGGAAUUAUACGGUUUGGUUGGUAUUCCACUGGAUGAGGCAAACCCUCAUAGUGGUAGUAACUCAAAGGAUUUCACUUUUGAUGUUACAUUCAAAGAUGUAUAUUAGGAGCAACAAUGUGCUUUUUUUUGUAUUUUCAUACAGUAAUUGAAAGUGAAACUUGUAGCCUUUGGGCAUUUUGUUUCAA